rnacentral:lncRNA from 1 species
AGUUCAAAGUUUCUUGACCACAGCUGUGGAGUGCUGGCUAUUCUUGAGACUUUUCUAGAAUUUUGACUUUUGCAAGUAUUGAUUGACAUCCACGUUUCUAACCCGUUUUUUUUUGGUAACAUGUAAACAGGUUUGUACUUCCUUGACGGUAUGUAUAGUGUAAAAUCAGAGUGAAACUUGGGAGAAUUUUUUAAUUCGAACCAAGUACACGAUUAUCAUCAAAGAAUUAGCCUCAAGUUGUACCUUCUCCACAUUAUCUUGCAUCUCAUGCAUUGUCAUUUGAAUUUCGUGAUUUUUAAAUGUAUUUAGCACGAAUUAUUUACUUGUAUAUAUUGAUCUGUCAGUUUCGUUAAUCUAUAUAGACCAAACCAGGACACUUUCACAAUCGAAUCAGAGGCGAGCAAGAUUUUGAAGUUAAAAUAGCUGACAAAAGAUUCUUGUUUCAUGACAUUGUUCGUUCAUGCUAAAUGGCGUGUUAGGCGACAUCUGUCUGCUGCUGCAGUUCAUCACUAGGACACAGAACAAAGUGGAUCAUUGGCAAUGGCUUUACCAUGUGAGUGAAUGAAGAAAAAAAUAGGAUCUCGAUGUAGAUGUGUGUUUGUGGAAAGAAGGGAGAAGUUGGGGGUCAAUCAGUGAAUCAAGGAAAGGAUCAGAGGCAUAGCCUAAGGUGCAGCUUGGUCCAGGUAACCACCAGCAUCCAGCAGGGCUUGAAAAAUGAUGAAGUAAGACUCUGAUGUUUCGUCUCGCGAAUACUUUUCUGCCAAAAAAUGAAGUGGAGUUUUGCCGUUCUUGUCGACUGCGUUGGGAUUGGCUCCAGCUUCCAACAACAGUUGAAUAAUGGAUACAGCGUGACUUGUAGAAUAAAGUGACAAUCCUCCGUGGUAAUCAACCAUGGCGAUCGCCACGUGUAGGAGACUAGUGACGCCGUUAUUUUGAUUGUAGAAAUGGAUGUAACGUGACAGGUAUUCGGUUAACUGGCGAAUUUCGUCUUUUUUUAAUCUUGGAAGCCAAUUUGAAAUGAAGAAGUAAGUUUUUUCGAGGAUAUCAAAGAGCUGCCUGUCGGGAAGAGUCACUGGUGGAACAGGUAACAUGUUGGCGAAAAUUUCUAAUCCGAAUUUAGCGAUUGCCAAUAGAUUAGCAGACGAUAAUUCUUGUUUUAAAGUGCCGUUGGUUGGCUGUCGUCGUUUCAAACAGACUAACAUUAAAUCAAAUGUUUCUGCAAAUAUUUUGACACAUUUGGGUGAAGAGUUUUGGUUGAAUUCUUUGGAAUGUUCCAAGAUGAGCAGACAAAUAUUCGUGGCACAAAUGUAGUGUUGGUGAAAUUUACAGUAGAUUCCAUAAUGCAGUAAGUUUUCAAGGUGGAAAGAGUUGGGGCCAGUCUGGCUGGUUUUGUUUUGACUUAAUAUUCGUUUACUAACUAGCAGAGCUUGAACUACCAGUGGUCCACAGAGAAGGUCCCAACCCCCGAUCGACCUGUGCAUCGACGAUUGCUCUUCCAGCUCUUCCAGUUCCUCUGGUGUCACAAAUUCAGUAGCUUCCUCAAAGAUGCUGCUAACAAUUUCAGAGAAAACAUAAGGAAUUUUGGGAAUGGGUUCUGCUCCACCAGCUGUAGAGUAACGUAAUGCCAUUGCUUGUUUCCAGCAGAGCAAUCCACGCCAUGGUCCGUUAUGGCAUGGCGCUUGCUUGCACAAUGACUUUCGUCGAGUGUGAAGAAUUUGUUUGAAGAUGAAGGCAGCACCCAUUAAUUCGAGAGCGAUGAUCUUCUCAUGCCUGGGAAGCGAGCUGGCCGUAAACGAAUUGAGAACGAAGUCCAACCAAUAUGCCUCGUCGUUGACUACAUCAAUUAGGUAACCAAACACUUGGAAGUUCAGUGAUGUGCUGUAAGCUGCGCGUAUUCUAGUAUUCAAGUCGAAUAAACAGGUCGUUUUUCCCAUGGCGAUCUAAGUUCUAUACCGGAUCGAUUCUACCAGCAACAGUUCCAUUGGCGAUAAGUGUAUGGCAUUCGUUUCGACCUCGUCCUAUAUUUAUUCGCGUACUUCCAGGUUUUUGAGUAAUUGUUGCUGGCCAACAGGCGUUUUAACUAGAUUCACGAGGCCAUGGGAUCAGUUCCAAAGUUCAGUUACAACCGAUGCAUGCUUUGCUUCAUUUAACAUUACCUGGCGUCCCGUAACAUCGUAAAUAGAAGUGAUCGUCCCAUGGGGAACAUAAAACCUGAGGGACAAAAUGAAUAUUUCCUGUUAAAAUAUUGGAGUGCUGUGAAGAUGGAUGAAUGCGGAUUGACUGGAAGGUGCUCUCCAAAUGGAAUCUGAAUGUGAGGCAUAAUUUGUGCAUAGCAACGGUAAUAUGGACAGUGUCCUUAAACAGAUGGAUAAUGAAUUCGACAAUAUUUCAAGACGCUAUGUUGGAAGAAAUUAUCGGAACCUACCUGGUUAACAUGAGGUUCAGCAUCCACAGGAGCACGGGAUAACAUUUUGAAGCUGCUUUUCUCGGAUCAACUUCCGUGCAGGUAAUUUCUGCCGCACACGUCAGUCGCAUUAAUAAUUCGCUCCAGGAUGAUUUGGAUCACUUAUUCACGUUCAUAGGAAUUACCAUAAUUAACAAUCCAUCGUUGUUAUAAAUCAGCUGUCUUGUGAAGAAGGUUAGUGAUACUGUGAAUUUAACAAAUUAAUUCAAUGGAGAUGAUAAACCGUCAAAUAAUUUCUUAUUGGUUCAAAUUUGUCUCUAUAAUAACAUUGAUAUGUCAAGUCUUUUUCAGUAAUGUCACUCCGGGUUCUCUUCUCAAAACGGACGAUCGCUGCGAACGUUAAGAUGGUCAAGGCUGGUGUUCCGAUAGGUGACACAAAAUUGCUUCGCUAUUGUUCGUCGACGCUGUCCUAUACUGUUGUGGUCGUUUCACAGUCUAACAUGAAAUGAAACGUACAGGGCAAACACGGAGGAGUAUUUAGGUCGAGGUGUCUUGCUUUAAACCGCCGAAACUCCUGUGGGGUAAGUUGCGAUUUGAUUAUUCUUUGGGUUCGUGGAAUUACAGCAAAACCACAAUCAUUAUUUUUAGAUGAAGCUGAGAUGGAUGAGAUGUUGGCCAAGAAAUACGUGGAAUUUUACGAGUUCAAAGGGAUUGAUGAUGUCAACAAUCGGGCAGCUCGUUAAAGGACAGCUGGAACUUUCUCUCAUUGUCGCCCCGCCGUUAUUGAUUCAAUGAUAAAAGGCAUUGUUCCGGCGAUUUUGAACAAAACGGAGGAGACCCUGAGGAUUGCAGCACCAACGCAUCAAACCGCCUCUUCCAACACUGUUAUACAAUCUUUCGAUGUACUGUAAACCGGCACGGUGGUUUUUGAUCAUUGACUGCUUCACAACUCUUGACGGUAAGGUGGUUUCUCUGCAUCUGAAUAGUUUCUUGCAAUCUGGCAAUGAUUACAUCAUCAGAAGUCUAAAAAUGAGAGAUGAUGCUGCAUUUUGGAAAACGGCCAUCACUUUUUAAGAAGGACCAACGUCUUUGGGUUCGAAACUCUUUGCAAAAUUAACCAGUGGAACACGUCUACCCUUAACGCAUUCAACAAGCAUAAAAGACCAUGUUACAGCAUCGUUUUAAACAACACGGAUAAAUAUUUAUCUGCUGAAUUAUCCAGUUCGGGGCGUCCGCGCUGCUUGUGGUCACCAAAACAUCGAUUUUGCAAUUCAAGAUAAAAGGGCAUCACCCAAAGAUGAAACAACUAGCGAGGAUUGCAUGCUGGAUGGUAAUUGGUGUUCGUAUGGAAUUUGUGCUCGUCGUAUGACUUGCGCGCAGAUGUAUGAAAGAGUCAUAAAUGUCUUUCCGUCCGGCGUCUCUUGAUUGAGUUGGCCUCCAGCAUCCAGCAAGGCUUGAAAUACAGCUUCGUAAGAUUUUAAAUCGUUCCGAAACCAUUCGUAAUUCUCUGCCAAAAUGUGGAACGGAGCUUUGCCAUUGGAAUCCGUAGCCGUCGGAUCGGCUCCAGUUUCAAGAAACAGCUGAAUAACAGAUACAAUUUUACUUGGAUAUCGUUGGAUGACGUCAAUCUUCUUGAUUGCCAGGUGUAGAAGACUAGUGAAACUAUGUGCAUUAUUCAUGCUGAAAUAGUUUGCUAGACAGUCUUUAAGUUGUUGAAUUUCCAGCUGAUUACGUGACAGAAUAUGAUCCAAUAUUCUUAGAUGGCGACGAAGUACAGUCGUAACGAUGAAUCACCAAUGCGAACUUCUGAGUCAAAGAAAAGGAACUGAACACCAAUGAAUAGUUUGCGAAAAGAAACGCGACUUGUUUCCACGAGCGGCAAUCCACCUUUGGAAAUGGGCUGCUCGUUGUAGACUAAUAAGAUACCGAGAACAGUGUCCCCAUCUGGCGUUGCUUGAUCCAAAUGACAUCCAGCAUCCAACAGGGCCUGAAAAACGUUAAAAAACGAUUCCCUUGAAUGAGGCGUACACUUUUCGGCUAGGAUAUGAAGAGGAGAUUUUCCAUUUCCAUCGACAGCUUUAGGGUCGGCUCCGUUUGCAAGAUGAAGAAUACUGGAGAAUCCGGUACGUAAUUUCUCGACGUGAAACAAAUUAGCGAGAAUGAGAUUCAAUCGGUCGUCCUCGUCUCUGUCCAAAUGGAAAGUCUUCGACAUAGUCAUUACCAAUAAAUGCAUUUUCUUCAUAACCAAAUGCCGCCAUUCGCCAUGCUUGUUGCUGAUUGGAGAUGUGAGUGGGCUGCGUUCCAGAACUAUUAGGAUGUCGGAGAAGAGGAGAAAAGUUUCAACGAAUACUUGGAAACAUCUGGGCGAAUCUGGUCGACUGAACUGCUCCAUAAUGAGCAGUGAAAUGUUGAUGGUGCGCCUGUGAUGCAUCUGUCUAUUCUGGAUGACAUUUCCAGUUACUAAAAAGUGUUCUCCAUAUUCUUGCAAAGUUUUGAGGUGAAACAAAUUCGGCUCUACUUGCCUACCUCUUCUUUGCCCGAACGUCCGCUGAAUGAUGAGAAGAGCUUGGAUAACAACGGCGGAUAUGUCAUUGCGACGUCUUAAUUGUUGUUCCAAUUCGUCCAGCUCUUCUAGUGUCGUGAUUUCAACCGCAUCGCCAAUCGCGCUGCGGGCAUUAUCUGUCAGAACGUAUGGCAUUUUAGGGAUAGGCCUCCGUCUAUUGGCUGUCGAAUUCCGCAGUUCCAAAGCUCUCCUCCAGCAUUUCAAUCCACGCAAAUCGACGGCAAUUUCAUCCGACUCGAAUUGCUCCGAUAAAAGUAUUUUCAAAAUGAAGGCAGCGCCCAUUAAUUCAAACGCUAUGAUCUUCUCAGGACGGGACAUGUUGCUUGCCACUAUGGAAUUUAAAACAAACUCGAACCACGAAAGCUCGUCGUCGACAACGUCAAUCAGGUAUUCCAUCAGUUUGUAAAUGGAAUUCUGUUCUGCAAUGUCCCGGAUAAUGGCCACUUCGGGUGAUGGCAGUACGAAUGUUUGUGUGUAUUCCUUGCCAAAUUCUGCCGGUCCAAUCGAAAAUUUGUCCAAAUCCACUCUAUCCCACGAGAAAAGCGACAUGUGUUUCAUAAAUUUCGAUCGUGGAUGCUCGUCGAUUUUGAUGUUAUCCUUGAUGGUUUGCACCAAAAAUUCAAUAACUUCGAAUUUUCUUUCUCUGAUGGCCAUUUGCAAUGGCGUCUCCCCUUGUUCGUUACGUUGACUCAUUUUUUCCAAUACUGUGUUUUUGUCUGUUUCAAGUAUUUCACGUAUCUGACCGAUAAAUCCCUGGCGAACAGCGUCGAAAACUAAAUAGUCUUUCGGAGAAAUCAUGGCGAACUUGUUUUCAAAGAUAUAUUUGUAUUUUCUGGAUUUUUCAAAAGCAACUACUCACGGCACUCAUGCACUGCUGAUUACACUGCAACAAAUAGUACGUGCAAUGGUGACCGACACUUCUUAUACUGAAAAUAAAAUUCGACGUCACGCCGACGCCAUGUCGAAUCAUGCAGAAAGCAGCCCGAACUUCCAGGAAAGGAGUAUAUAAAUAUAUAUUUGGAAACGUCGGGAAAUGUUUUUCAUAGAAUGCUUUACGGGGUCAUCAACUUUUAAAAUUUUGUUUUAAUGUUAAUUUUUAAGAAAUUUAGUUUAACCUUGAAUUUUCUAACUGUUGCAGCAUGCCGAGUUUAUGACCUGUUUUUUUCUAUUAUUAGCCGUCUGAAAAUGUAUUAAAGUCAACGGUUGAAAUAGUCAAAUUGCCUAAACGUCGAGAAAUGUCAAAUUUUCACCUUCAACUCUUGCUGACUGUUGGCACUUAAUCUGCUCUAUUAUUUUGAUGCAAUGCAAGUCUGCUUACUUUCCAAACUGUUGCAUUCGAUGUGGUGCUAGGCGCAGUAUUAAAUUCUCCUCGGUGCUCA